rnacentral:rRNA from 1 species
CCUACGGGUGGCUGCAGUGGGGAAUAUUGGGCAAUGGGCGAAAGCCUGACCCAGCAACGCCGCGUGAAGGAAGAAGGCCUUCGGGUUGUAAACUUCUUUGACCAGGGACGAAAAAAAUGACGGUACCUGGAAAACAAGCCACGGCUAACUACGUGCCAGCAGCCGCGGUAAUACGUAGGUGGCAAGCGUUAUCCGGAUUUACUGGGUGUAAAGGGCGUGUAGGCGGUUUUGUAAGUCGGAUGUGAAAUUCCCAGGCUUAACCUGGGAGCUGCAUCCGAAACUACAGAACUUGAGUACUGGAGAGGAUAGUGGAAUUCCUAGUGUAGCGGUAAAAUGCGUAGAUAUUAGGAGGAACAUCAGUGGCGAAGGCGACUAUCUGGACAGUAACUGACGCUGAGGCGCGAAAGCGUGGGGAGCAAACAGGAUUAGAUACCCCGGUAGUC